GAAUCGACGAUGAAAGGGACAGUAGCUCUUUCUCCACUUAUGACAGCGAGCUAGGGGCGGUGGAAGCCUAGCAUAAGCGAAAGAGUGAAGAUCACCCUCGAGUUCCAUGCUGAAAGAAAGUAAGUAAGCAAUGGCGUGUCAUUCCCGUUAACGAAUGCAGAGAGGACUAUUUUAUAUAGUCAAUAAGGGUGGUACCGCGAGACCGUUCUCGUCCCUUUU
rnacentral:ncRNA from 1 species